AUCACUUCUCGGCCUUUUGGCUAAAAUCAAGUGUAGUAUCUGUUCUUAUCAGUUUAAUAUCUGAAACAUCCUCAAUCCAAGGGCAAUAUACUACAUGGAUUUUUAGAACAAGGAGAUGGAAUAGGAGCUUGCUCUGUCCACCUCAUGCAUCAACCUGGUAUUUCAGUAAUUCCAAGAAUGUUGCACUUUCA
ensembl:snRNA U2 U2 spliceosomal RNA